AGAACGAACGCUGGCGGCAUGCCUAAUACAUGCAAGUCGAACGAGAUCUUCGGAUCUAGUGGCGCACGGGUGCGUAACGCGUGGGAAUCUGCCCUUGGGUUCGGAAUAACUUCUGGAAACGGAAGCUAAUACCGGAUGAUGACGUAAGUCCAAAGAUUUAUCGCCCAAGGAUGAGCCCGCGUAGGAUUAGCUAGUUGGUGGGGUAAAGGCCCACCAAGGCGACGAUCCUUAGCUGGUCUGAGAGGAUGAUCAGCCACACUGGGACUGAGACACGGCCCAGACUCCUACGGGAGGCAGCAGUAGGGAAUAUUGGACAAUGGGCGAAAGCCUGAUCCAGCAAUGCCGCGUGAGUGAUGAAGGCCUUAGGGUUGUAAAGCUCUUUUACCCGGGAUGAUAAUGACAGUACCGGGAGAAUAAGCUCCGGCUAACUCCGUGCCAGCAGCCGCGGUAAUACGGAGGGAGCUAGCGUUGUUCGGAAUUACUGGGCGUAAAGCGCACGUAGGCGGCUAUUCAAGUCAGAGGUGAAAGCCCGGGGCUCAACCCCGGAACUGCCUUUGAAACUAGAUAGCUUGAAUCCAGGAGAGGUGAGUGGAAUUCCGAGUGUAGAGGUGAAAUUCGUAGAUAUUCGGAAGAACACCAGUGGCGAAGGCGGCUCACUGG
rnacentral:rRNA from 1 species